rnacentral:pre_miRNA from 1 species
UUAAGAAGAGCUUGUUAGAUUAGUGAAAAAAAACUGCCUGAAAAUGAAGCUCAUGCAAGUUCUAAGUAAUAAAACUAGAUCUCUUUUGCUCAUCAAAUUUAAAUUAGCAGGCAAGUCAUUUUUUGCUAUCAAACAAUACUUUUCUUU